ACCAAUCCUAGCCCUAGUACAAACCCCAUUUAACUAUUUCUAAUAAUAAAACAAAACAUUUGACCACAGAAAGUAUCGGAGAGAGAAAUCUAACUAGGAGCCAUAGAGACAGUACCGCAAGGGAAAGAUGAAAGAUAAAUUAAAAGUGAAAAAAAGCAAAGAUUAAACCUUGUACCUUUUGCAUAAUGAGUUAACUAGAUUAAACCUGCCUAAGAGAACUUGAGCCAGGCACCCCGAAACCAAACGAGCUACCUAAGAGCAGUCCAAAGAACCAACCCGUCUAUGUAGCAAAAUAGUGGGAUGACUCCUAGGUAGAGGUGAAAAGCCUACCGAGCUUGGUGAUAGCUGGUUACCCAAUAAAGAAUCUCAGUUCAACUUUAAGAUUGCCAUAAGAAAUAAAAAUCAAAAUGCAAUCUUAAAAGAUAGUCUAAAGAGGGACAGCUCUUUAGAAAAGGGAAUAACCCUUCAUAGUGAAUAAAUCCAUAAACCAUACAAACCAUUGUUGGCCUAAAAGCAGCCAUCAACAAAGAAAGCGUUAAAGCUCAACAUAAUAUUACCUUAAUUCCACUAAUUACAAUAAUUUCCUAUGAAACUCAAUUGGGUCAAUCUAUGAUCACAUAGAUGAGAUACUGUUAGCAUGAGUAACAAGAACACUGUUCUCCAGGCACAAGCCUAUAACAAACCGGAUAACCAUUGUUAGUUAACAACCAAGGUGAUUACUCUCAAAUAGACAUCACCUACAUUAUAAAUGUUAGCCCAACACAGGAGUGCCCUAAGGAAAGAUUAAAAGAAGUAAAAGGAACUCGGCAAACAAGAAUCCCGCCUGUUUACCAAAAACAUCACCUCUAGCAUAAAAAGUAUUAGAGGCACCGCCUGCCCAGUGACGAAGUUAAACGGCCGCGGUAUCCUGACCGUGCAAAGGUAGCAUAAUCACUUGUUCCUUAAUUGGGGACUGGAAUGAAUGGCUUAACGAGGAUUCAACUGUCUCUUACUUCCAAUCAGUGAAAUUGACCUUCCCGUGAAGAGGCGGGGAUUCCACAAUAAGACGAGAAGACCCUAUGGAGCUUUAAUUCACUAGCUUAACUUAUCAACCAAAACCCUACUGGAACAGACAACAAGAUAUAAGCUAGCAAUUUCGGUUGGGGUGACCUCGGAGCAUAAAUUAACCUCCGAAAGAUUUUAACCAAGACCCACAAGUCAAAGUAACUAAAAUCCAAUUGACCCAAUUCUUUGAUCAACGGACCAAGUUACCCUAGGGAUAACAGCGCAAUCCUAUUCAAGAGUUCAUAUCGACAAUUAGGGUUUACGACCUCGAUGUUGGAUCAGGACAUCCCAAUGGUGCAGCAGCUAUUAAUGGUUCGUUUGUUCAACGAUUAAAGUCCUACGUGAUCUGAGUUCAGACCGGAGUAAUCCAGGUCGGUUUCUAUCUAUUAACUAUUUCUCCCAGUACGAAAGGACAAGAGAAAUGGGGCCUCCUUAAAUAAAGCGCCCUUAAACUAAUAUAUGAACUUAUCUCAAUUUAGUAAGUUAGUACCAACACACCCUAGACAAGGGGUUU
rnacentral:rRNA from 1 species